rnacentral:misc_RNA from 1 species
GGAAGGAUCAUUACAAGAACCGAGGCUGGUCGCGCCUGUCGGGGCUCCGUCCCCGCUCAGGCUCCCGUCCAGCCCGCUCUUUACCUUGCCUACUGCACCGUUUGUUGCUCCCUGGCGGUGCGCGCCGCCGCCAGGGACCCCAUCAAAAGCCUUGUAUAAUAAGCAUUGAGCACCUGAUACGCACUAAAUCAUACAACUUUCAACAAUGGAUCUCUUGGCUCUGGCAUCGAUGAAGAACGCAGCGAAAUGCGAUAAGUAGUGUGAAUUGCAGAAUUCAGUGAAUCAUCGAAUCUUUGAACGCACAUUGCGCCCCUUGGUAUUCCAUGGGGCAUGCCUGUUCGAGCGUCAUCUAAACCCUCAAGCCCCCGGCACCGCCCUGCGGAGCCUGGCUUGGUGUUGGGCGUCUGUCCGUGCUUCCCGCGCGGACUCGCCCCAAAUGCAUUGGCAGCGUCCCCCAGCUCCGAGCGCAGCACAUUGCGCAGUGGGGCGUGGCGUGGCGCGCUUCCAGAAGCGAACCCCCAAGUUUGACCUCGGAUCAGGUAGGGAUACCCGCUGAACUUAAGCAUAUCAAUAAGCGGAGGAAAAGAAACCAACAGGGAUUGCCUCAGUAACGGCGAGUGAAGCGGCAACAGCUCAAAUUUGAAAUCUGGCCCCCUGCGGGGUCCGAGUUGUAAUUUGCAGAGGGUGCUUUGGCGUGGACGGCGGUCUAAGUUCCUUGGAACAGGACGUCACAGAGGGUGAGAAUCCCGUACGUGGUCGCCCGUCCUCGCCGUGUAAAGCCCCUUCGACGAGUCGAGUUGUUUGGGAAUGCAGCUCUAAAUGGGAGGUAAAUUUCUUCUAAAGCUAAAUACUGGCCAGAGACCGAUAGCGCACAAGUAGAGUGAUCGAAAGAUGAAAAGCACUUUGGAAAGAGAGUCAAAAAGCACGUGAAAUUGUUGAAAGGGAAGCGCUUGCAGCCAGACUUGCCCGUAGUUGCUCACCCGGACUUUUGCCCGGGGCAUUCUUCUGCGGGCAGGCCAGCAUCAGUUUGGGCGACCGGAUAACGGCCUCUGUCAUGUAUCUUCCUUCGGGAUGACCUUAUAGGGGAGGCGUAACGCGGCCAGCCCGGACUGAGGUCCGCGCAUCUGCUAGGAUGCUGGCGUAAUGGCUGUAAGCGGCCCGUCUUGAAACACGGACCAAGGAGUCUAACAUCUAUGCGAGUGUUUGGGUGUCAAGCCCGGGCGCGUAAUGAAAGUGAACGGAGGUGGGAACCCCUCGGGGUGCACCAUCGACCGAUCCUGAUGUUCUCGGAUGGAUUUGAGUAAGAGCAUGGCUGUUGGGACCCGAAAGAUGGUGAACUAUGCUUGAAUAGGGUGAAGCCAGAGGAAACUCUGGUGGAGGCUCGCAGCGGUUCUGACGUGCAAAUCGAUCGUCAAAUUUGGGCAUAGGGGCGAAAGACUAAUCGAACUAUCUAGUAGCUGGUUCCUGC